GGCCUGCAAGAAGAGUGGAGGGCGGAGGGCAGAAGGGACUGGGGAAGGGGCGAGGCCUGGAAGAAUAGAGGCAGAGGCGGGAGCGGCCGAUCUUGGCGGAGUAGACACAGCUCCAGGCUCGGCAGCAGAGUCAGGGUCAGGAGCCGGUGUGGGACCUGAAGCAGGGCACAGGCUGGGGCUCAUCGCGGCCCGGCCCCUUUCCAUCGCAGAUCCCGCCUCCUCGCGACUCGGCCCCCAGGUCACAUCCCUCCGUCGGUGCCCGCCACCCACUCACCGUGGGGCUCCCGUGCGGCAGGUACACCGGGUAGUCGCGAGCGGUCUGCGGCGGCAGGGACCCCACCAGCCAGGGGAGCAGCACGGCCUCGGGCGUCCCCAGCCGCCACCAACCCUCUGUUGCUGCCACCACCCGGCCGGACACCACCAGACUGACGAAGGUCGUGCCCGCGGCCUCAGCGAACCCGGAGAGGGCUUCCUGGGUACGGGAGGCAGGAGGACUGGGAGUCAGCAGACAAGCGUAGGGGGUGGCAGCGACUUCCCAGAUGGGCAGGGAAUGGGGAGAAACCCACAGCCAGCCCCGAGCUCGCGCAGUGGCCAUGCUCCUACGUCUCACCCUCUCUGAGCCUGAGUUCCUUCACUUUCAUACGAAGUCACAUCCCCAACUCACACUGUGAAGUCUGUGAAAUCUGAUUAAACAUCUAGCCUGGGCGGGCAAACUGA
rnacentral:lncRNA from 1 species